GACGGUGAUGUCUUAAUCCUAUUCCAUUGCUGAAAACUUCCAAUGUGGAAAUUUCCUGGCUGAUGUU